GAGAGAGAGAGAGAGAGAGAGAGAGAGAGAGAGAGAGAGAGAGAGAGAGAGAGAGAGAGAGAGAGAGAGAGAGAGAGAGAGAGAGAGAAGACAUCAGUACUGCCUUUACCACUAUAAAACAGAAAAACUUGAACGAGAGAGAGAAGACAACAUCAGUCCAUUACUCCAUUACAUGACAAAAACUUACUUAAUAUAAACUUUAACGAGGGAGACGACGUUGAAUCAGUCUCUCUUUUUACCACAUGACAAAAACUUACUUAUUCUAAACUGUAGCAAGAGAGAAAGCAAAUCUAUACCGCCUUUAUGACUUAAAAACAAAAAAUAACUUACUUAAUAUAAAUUUUAACGAGAGGACAUUGAACCAGUCCCUCCUUCACUACCGCAUGACAAAGACUUACUCUAAACUUGAAUGAGAGAGACAAGACAACAUCAGUAUCGUCUUUAUAACUUUAUAAUGAGAACUUACUUAAUAUAAAUUUUAACAAGAGAGGACAUUGAAUCAGUCCCUCCUUCACCAGUACAUGAAGAAAACUUACUCUAAACUUGAAUGAGAAAGACAACAUCAGUACUGCCUUUGCAACAACAUAAUGAGAACUUACUUCAUAUAAACUUUAAUGAGAGAGAAUACAUUGAAAGUCUCUCUCCUCUACCACUGCAUAACAAAAACUUACUCUAAACUUUAGCAAGAGAGGAAGCAAACCCGUGCUGCCUUUAUGACUUCAAAACAAUAAAAAAAAUGAACAAGACAACAUCAGUACUGUCUUUACAACUAUAUAACAAAAACUUACUCUAAACUUGAAUGAGAGAAAGUGUACAUCCCAUCACUCCCUCCCUCACCACUACAUGACUAAAACUUCCUCUAAACUUGAAGGAGAGGGAAGACAUUGAAUCAGCCCCUCCUUCACCACUAUAUAGCUAAAACUUCCUCUAAACUUUAACGAGAGAGAAGACAAUGAAUCAGCCCCUCCUUCACCUUUACAUUUUACUUUAUGGAACAUUAUACAAAAAGAAAAAGUAUAUAUUGUGUGAUUACUAUUGGCGAUGGUAUAAUUUUAUGUAUGUUGAGUGAAAAAAAGGGAAGGAAAAAAGUAAGGUGUAAAUAUUCCGAUAACACAGAAUUUUACUUAAUGAAGCGAGAUGAGAGGAACUAUAUAUUGGGUGUUUACCGCUGGUGAUAACAUAAGAUAACAUAAUUUUACUUAUAUUCAAUGAACAAGACAAAAAAAGCAGGGUGUCAACAUUCCAAUAAUGUAGGAUUUUACUUAAUGAAAUGAUAGACAAAAAAGAAAACUGCAUAUUGUGUGUUUACUGCUGGUGAUAACAUGAUUUUGCAUACGUUCAACGAAAGGAAAAGAAAGGAAAAUCAGGGUGUGAAUAUCGCAGCAACACAGAAUUUUACUGAAUGAAAAGAGAGAUGAGAAAAUAUAUUGUGUGUUUACUGUUGGUGAUGAUGUUAUUUUGCUUACACUCAGUGAAGGAAAGGGAAGAGGAAGCAGGCUGUGAAUAUUCUGACACCACAAAACUUUACUAAUACUGAAUGAAGCGAGAGGCAAAAGAAAACGAUGUACUGUAUUGUGUGUUUUCUAUCAACUAUAACGUUAUUUUGCCUACAACUCCUGAAGGAAAGGGAAGAUCAGGCUGUGAAUAUUGUGACAUUACAAAACUUUGCUGAUAUUGAAUGAAGCGAGAGACAAAAGAACAGAAGAACAGAAUAUAUCGAUCACACAUUACAAUAACAUCACCUUACACCUAUCCAGUGCUGCAUGAAACAAACAAAAACAGCCUGUAAAUAUAUUCCAAUUCACACAAAAGAUGACUUAAAUUCAAAGCAGAGAGAGAAAACAAUACGUCACAUACAAAUUACUUUACUUAAUGACCUUGUAUUAAUCACGUCAAGGCUGUGUCAUGUCUUAGUGUGUCUACUCCAAAGCGUCUCCUGAGUCUGGGUCUGAAUGGUCCCCCUAGUGAGUGCGUGGUUGUCAGAUCUUGAGACAAACCGUGAGCUGUCUUUGUGAUAAGUGCGCUGAUCAACAGAAAACAAGCAUUAUUCACAUCAAAUCAAUGACGUUAUCAAUAAGCUACAGUGUUUGGAACCCAGGAGCCAUUUUACAGACUAUUGUAUAACCCUCAAGUGUGACCUUUGAGAGACAUGUGGUCAAUAUGGGUCACAGGAGGAGGAGGAGGUGAAGGUGCUGGGAGUUCAAAGUUUAGGUCAGAUAAGGUGAAACAAGUGACUAUGUGUGAAGUGACAAGCAUGAAAGCAGAGGUCAGGUUAGAUAAGGUGAGGUGGAGUCAGGUCAUGCUGAUAGAGAUGAGAGUUGAAUGAUAGACAAGCUAAAAGAGAGAGAGAGAGAGAGUAGGAGUCCCGAUAGCCAAGUGGACAGAGUGACAGUGUUGAAAUGUUACACUGAGAGACAAGAGGUGACUUUGAACCUGACUAAGAAUUAAAAAAAAAUAAAUAAAUAAAUAAUCAUAUCCUUUUAAGUGUGUCCACGUGUGAGGAGGUGAAGGGAGGGUGAGCGUGUCCAGUACAAAGAGAGGGCCUGCAGGGAGGUGAAGGGGUCAGUGUUUGGGAGUGUUGGUGUAAUUGUGUCUUUCAUUGUCUCACUGAAUCACACUUCUUUUUCACUGUGGGGGUGUCGUAGCCUGGCAGUUUGAGGCAGAGAGGAGUUGAGUGUGUGUAUGUGUGUGUGUGAGUAAGAAAUAAUGUCCAUGUGUGUGUGUGUGUGUGUGUGUGUGUGUGUGUGUGUGUGUGUUCAUCUUCCUCACACUCACACACACACACACACGUAUUCACAGUUAGCAUAAUCCAUUAAUCACUUCACCACCAGUCACAUUGUCAGCAGGCAUAUCUUAUCUAAUCUUAUCUAUAUAACGCAGGAGUAUUGCUCUGGUACACGCAUAAUAUCAAUAUUUUUACCUUGCUGGUUGCAAUUUUACAUACAUAAUAGUUGUAAAUUUACUGAGUUACAUGGAUCAGUUAUUAUCAUUGUUGUGUUUAGAUGUAUAUGCAUAUUUGUUGAGGGAAAUGUAUCUAUGUAGCUGAUGUGUAUUUAUCAAUGUAUUAGGUCACUGAGAGGGAGAGAGAGAUUUCUGAUACAUUGACUAGUCUUACUCUGUUUGUUAAUGUUUUGUUACCGAGGAAAAGUAAAGAAGAAAAAUUA